UGCUCUGUCCCUCCUUUGAAUCUGAGAGGGAUACUCAGAUAGGAGUUGGGGAAGUGGAGUCAGACAGGAGCCCUACCGAGGCUCUAGGGCCUGUGACCGGGCUGAGGCCAGAGGAAACGCCAUCCCACCUGCAAGUCUGCUCGACCUCUCCAGACCCAGGAUGGGAGCAUCGAGGAAGCUGCCAGCACUACCCCAGCCCCAACUUCAGUCACGGCCACUCCUCAGAUCAUAGGUCAUUGAAGGGACCUUGGUCCCCAGCACCCAUCCAUCAAGGUGCCCAGUGCUCCCAGCUCUUGCAGUGACCACCAGAAGUGGCCCAAGUCUGGCAUUAUUCGUAUUCCUACUAGACACACACCUAAACUGACUUACGUGCAUCCCAAAACAGAGGCCUUGAUCCUGCAGGCUGAUGACACCACUGGAGGAAACCAGCCAGCCCUGGGGGCUCUGACGCUGGAUGCAGCCCUCCCAGGAAAUAGCUCCACUGGCUGCGGUAACUGGAGGCUCCUGAGACACAUCUCAGCCUGCAGUGGGUGGGCCCCCCAGCCCGCUGCAGCCCUGCCCCAGGAAGAAGCAGGCCAGUCAAACUGGCUGACCCCAUCAGUCCCCCCAUCCCCUCCCCCGCCCCAGUCUGUCCUCAGUCCUGAUCCCCCUGCUUGCCCCACAGUGGCCCAGGCUGGCCAUGCCCUUCCCAGCCUGCGGGCCAGCUGCUCAGAGCCAGGGGCUCACAGCCAGGGACGGAGGCUAUCCCAGCUCUGACCUGGGCUGGGCCCAAACCUGCCUCCUUUGGGCCUCAUUCUGAUUGGAAAAAACAGCCUCUCUAGUCCCUGUCUCAAGGAGAUGGCUUUUCAAACCAGAAUCUUUCUCACAAGUGUCUCCUCAGGACACAGCUCACUGUGCGGUUUCCUGAAGCUCUUUCUGGGUCAAGGUGGGUAAAACACACAUCCAUGAAUCUGUUUCUAUGUAUACAAAUAGACUUUGUGCUCUGCCAGUGUUAGUUUAAUAAAGCCCUCUGGCCAACAUCCCCAAUCUUCCUAAACACUCCAAGGAAAAUGUUCUCUUUUCUUCACCGCAUGGGCUAAAGUGCUAGGCUGCCUCCCUGUCCCCAGGUUAGUCCCCAAGCCUUCUUCUUUCUGACGGAGCCUCAGAGGGCUGUCCCCUGAGCACCCAUCCCCCUCUCUUCUAACUGCCCAGGCCCCAAGCCCCUAGGCCUGAGGGCAUCCUGGAAUCUUGCUCUCAGCACCCCACACCUGCCUCCCUUCAUAUGGAUUCCCUGAGCCAUGAAAACUCUCAGAAUCUUCACUGUGUUCUUAGCGCUCAGUGCCCUCUUCUAGGCCUGUCCCCAGCCCAGCCUACUGCUGGAAGGGAGAAGGAGGGAGGCCUUUUCCCCUUCAUACUCUUCCUUGUCCGCCUUCCUCUACUUGGGGGCCUCUUCAACAUCCUCCAUCUACCUUCCCUGGGGUGGUAUCCCUUUUGAUGAGCCCCAGGGAGGAGGCAAGGAGGAAGAUCCUAAAAACAAUUUAUGGAGGAAGUUAAGUCCUGGCAGGAGAGAUGUAGAGGGCUUGGACCCCAUCUGCCCAGUCCCAGGAUUUGCGCACACACACAACUACACAGACCUGCUGCAGUGCACACAGUCUUCCACAGAUGUACCUACACAAAUACACAAUCAGGGGCUCAGGCGUCUGGGGGCACAGACACAACAGGUUGCCCAGAUCCAGGUGUGUGUGCACACAACUCACACAAGAAACACCUGCACUUGGUUUGUAGAAUAAAAAUCCCAAGCAUACUAUAUCUACUAGGUUUGGGGACAAAGUGAAAAUGAAAAUAAUCUUGCUGAUAAGACUAAGGUGUCUUCCCAGAUCUGAUCAGGAGUCCAAUGUGAAUAGGAGACAAUAGAGAGCUGUCUUUGUACUUUGGCUCUGAGAAAGGUUUGUGGAAUGGACUGCGUGUGGCCUGAAAGAGCUUGCAUUGCAGGGAAUGCCUGGGCUUGAUGCCUGUUAUCUUGUUCAGUGCCUCUGAUAAAUUAAUAAACUGCAAUCUCACUCAA